rnacentral:tRNA from 1 species
GCCCCCAUAGCUCAACGGAUAGAGUACUUGUCUUCGGAACAAGGGAUGUGGGUUCGAUUCCUGCUGGGGGCA